rnacentral:rRNA from 1 species
UACGUAGGGUGCGAGCGUUGUCCGGAAUUAUUGGGCGUAAAGAGCUCGUAGGCGGUUUGUCACGUCUGCUGUGAAAUCCCGAGGCUCAACCUCGGGCCUGCAGUGGGUACGGGCAGACUGGAGUGCGGUAGGGGAGAAUGGAAUUCCUGGUGUAGCGGUGGAAUGCGUAGAGAUCUCCAAGAACACCAGUUGCGAAGGCGGCCGACUGGACCCAUAUUGACGCUGAGGCUCGAAAGCAUGGGGAGCAAACAGG